GGGCACAUGGUGUAGUUGGUUAUCACAUCCGCUUAGCAUUGGGUUUCAAAUAAUUUCACUAAGUGCCUGCGGGGGGUGCUGGGUUCAAUUCCCAGUGUGUCCA